ACACAUGCAAGUCGAGCGAGGUCUUCGGACCUAGCGGCGGACGGGUGAGUAACGCGUGGGAACGUGCCCUUCCCUGCCGGAUAGUCCCUGGAAACGGGGUUUAAUACGGCAUACGCCCUUCGGGGGAAAGAAUUUCGGGGAAGGAUCGGCCCGCGUCUGAUUAGGUAGUUGGUGGGGUAAUGGCCUACCAAGCCGACGAUCAGUAGCUGGUUUUAGAGGAUGAUCAGCCACACUGGGACUGAGACACGGCCCAGACUCCUACGGGAGGCAGCAGUGGGGAAUCUUAGACAAUGGGCGCAAGCCUGAUCUAGCCAUGCCGCGUGUGUGAUGAAGGCCUUAGGGUCGUAAAGCACUUUCGCCAGGGAUGAUAAUGACAGUACCUGGUAAAGAAACCCCGGCUAACUCCGUGCCAGCAGCCGCGGUAAUACGGAGGGGGUUAGCGUUGUUCGGAAUUACUGGGCGUAAAGCGCGCGUAGGCGGACUGGAAAGUUGGGGGUGAAAUCCCGGGGCUCAACCUCGGAACUGCCUUCAAAACUAUCAGUCUAGAGUUCGAGAGAGGUGAGUGGAACUCCGAGUGUAGAGGUGAAAUUCGUAGAUAUUCGGAAGAACACCAGUGGCGAAGGCGGCUCACUGGCUCGAUACUGACGCUGAGGUGCGAAAGUGUGGGGAGCAAACAGGAUUAGAUACCCUGGUAGUCCACACCGUAAACGAUGAAUGCCAGUCGUCGGGCAGCAUGCUGUUCGGUGACACACCUAACGGAUUAAGCAUUCCGCCUGGGGAGUACGGCCGCAAGGUUAAAA
rnacentral:rRNA from 1 species